AGAGCUUGUUAUGAUGAUGUUUACUUUUUUCCCCAGCUUAUCGAUAUAUGCUGAUAAACUCGCUAUCAAAAGCCAGUACAAAUCUGAACAAGCUCA